CAGCGCAGACUAUUCAGGCCAGAGAGGUCCAUUUUAGGGGGCUUUUACGCCCCUUGUGCUUUGCGGGAGGGACAUCGGAAAGGCUGAUGCCCAGCAAACGUGCGCGGCACACAGCGCAGCCGCAGACGCGAGACACGCAUCGCACCGCGUUCCUGCUGUAAAUACUUACUGUAAAUACUGCGAUAGGCAUGGGUCUCGGGAAUAAAGGAAAAUCCAAUUUAUGGCACAUGGACGUUGAGUGACGAGAAACUCCCGGAGUAAAUUCCCCUGAACUCGACCCCUCCCUGGGUCAGGCAGGUGCGGGACGUAGUGCAAAGUUGUACCAUCUCCCCCCAAUAUUGCACUCGUCCCGGCCUCCCGGACCUCACGGACACCCAGCCCGGGACCAGGGGCCAUCACAGUCAGCUAUGGGGCAUUUCCUGGGGCCACUUUAGUGCCGGAAUCUCUGCGAUUUCAGGAAACACUGUUAGCAUUUCGUAGAGUAGGAUGUCUGUUCUUUGCCGCUGCCUUGCCUUGCUAAAACUUGUUUUCUGCAGACACUUUUGCUGUUCUGCCAUUCUUUUCCUGUACUGAGUCCAGUUCUUUGAUUAAAACUUACCUUGCCGGAGA